rnacentral:rRNA from 1 species
CAGCCGCCGCGGUAAUACGAAGGGGGCUAGCGUUGUUCGGAAUUACUGGACGUAAAGGGCGCGUAGGCGGCCAUUCAAGUUAGAUGUGAAAGCCCUGGGCUCAACCUAGGAAUUGCAUUUGAUACUGUUUGGCUUGAGUUCGGGAGAGGUGAGUGGAAUUCCCAGUGUAGAGGUGAAAUUCGUAGAUAUUGGGAAGAACACCAGUGGCGAAGGCGGCUCACUGGACCGACACUGACGCUGAGGCGCGAAAGCGUGGGGAGCAAACAGGAUUAGAUACCCCCGUAGUCCCUGUCUCUUAUAC